UACUCCUGAAAGCACACAAGAGCAACAGGCUCUUCUUGUGAGCAAGUGUAUGUGUUACUGACACACGUGGGAUGCUGACAUACGUGUGCUGCUCACACACGUGGGCUGUUACCACCCUUUGCUUCCAAAUGUAUGCCCUGCUUCGUUACUCAGUUCAUACCUACGUGGUCCAGGCAGCCAGAAGAUGAUGCCCUGCACUGUCGCUGAUCUCCCUGCUGGCCCUGGCCAUGUCAGCUCUCCCCUCUGAGAUGGCACCAUGAAGACAAUGUGCCUGAAUGCAGGAGAUGACUGAAGACACCAUCAGCAGAACCAAAGGAGCAACUGAAACCCAGAAGUCAGCUGUUUGCUGCUUGACCUGUUUUUCUCUAGGAAGCUUGUCAGACACCUUUCGGAUGCUUUUCUGUGUCCUCCAGGUAGAAGGAAAACUGCCCGAGAAGCAUUCCUGGAAUGACCGAUUUCAAUGUUAUAAAUCCCUGGAUUUUUCAUCUCCCUUUGAACGAAAUGCCAAAGGGGAUUAAAGACUAAAGAACAAAUCACAAAUUUACAUUAUUAAAAUUACUGUAAUCAUGAGUGUUUUCUAGCCUUAAUCA